rnacentral:rRNA from 1 species
UACGGGGGGGGCAAGCGUUGUUCGGAAUUACUGGGCGUAAAGGGCUCGUAGGCGGCCAACUAAGUCGGAUGUGAAAUCCCCAGGCUUAACCUGGGAACUGCAUCCGAUACUGGAUGGCUUGAAUCCGGGAGAGGGGUGCAGAAUUCCAGGUGUAGCGGUGAAAUGCGUAGAUAUCUGGAGGAAUACCGGUGGCGAAGGCGGCAUCCUGGACCGGCAUUGACGCUGAGGAGCGAAAGCUAGGGGAGCAAACGGG